UGUGUGUAUGAGUUAUGUAUGUGUUAUAUAUGUGUGUUGAAUAUGCAUUGUGUAUGUGUGUGUAUUGUGUGGGUACGAGUUGUUCAUACGUUGUAUUUGUAUGUGUUGUAUAUGUGUGUUGUGUAUGUGUGUAUUGAUGUAUGUAUGUGUUGUGUAUGUGUGUUGUAUGUAUAUGAGUUGUGCAUAUGUUAUGUGUGUGUUGCAUAUGUGUGUUGUGUGUGCAUGUAUGUAUAGGUAGGACCACGUGUGUGAGGGGAUUAUCUUUAUCUUUCUCAGCUAUCAUUCUUUAUCUCUCUCUGCCUUAUGGAUUUGGUUUUUGGCUAUUUUACUUGAUCAUUCAUUUGGGGGAGGCUUGUGUGUUCCAACCAUAGAGACAUGUGAAGGCCAGAGGAUUGCUUGAAGGACUCCAUCAGGUGGGUGCCAGGGAUGGAACUCGGGCUUGGUGGCCAGCAUCUUUUACCCUCUGAGUCAAUCAUUCUGGUGAUCCUCAACUUUAUUCUUAAAGACAGGCUCUCUCAUCAAACUCAGAGCUCACUGAUUUGGCUAGGCGCUCAGUGAGCCCCAGGGCUUCUCCCGUCUCAGCCUCCUUGGUGGGAGAAUCAGAAGCAUGCACUGCCAUGCCUGGCUUUUCCAUGUGGGUUCUGAGCUCGGGUCCUCACAGAACAUACUUUGUCAACCAAGCCUUCUCCCCAGUGCCCUGAUACUUUUCUUCUGGCUAAUUUCCUUGGCACGGGCCUAUGUUUUCCUAACAUAACUAAGCUGAUAGGUGAACUGGACUAGAUUGAGGGGGGUUGGAGUGGGGGUGGGGGUUGGUGUGGGUGUGUCACUGUGGGGGUGGGCUUUAAGAUCCUCAUCCUUGUGCCUGGAAGUUACUAUUCUGCUAGCAGUCUUCAGAUGAAGAUGCAGAACUCUCAGCUCCUCCUGCACCGUGCCUGCCUAGAUGCUACCCUGCUCCCACCUUGAUGAUACUGGACUGAACCUCUGAACCUUUAAGCCAGCCCUAAUUAAAUGGUGUCCUUUAUAAGACUUGCCUCGGUCAUGGUGUCUGCUCACAGCAGUAACACUCUAAGACUGGAUGGUAGUGAGUGAGACACCAGUCUCAGGCGGUUGACCCCCUGCCUUAGUGUCUUUUCUUUUC
rnacentral:lncRNA from 1 species